UACGGAGGGUGCAAGCGUUAUCCGGAUUCACUGGGUUUAAAGGGUGCGUAGGAGGACUGGUAAGUCAGUGGUGAAAUCCCCGAGCUUAACUUGGGAACUGCCAUUGAUACUAUCAGUCUUGAAUACCGUGGAGGUGAGCGGAAUAUGUCAUGUAGCGGUGAAAUGCUUAGAUAUGACAUAGAACACCAAUUGCGAAGGCAGCUCGCUACACGAAUAUUGACUCUGAGGCACGAAAGCGUGGGGAUCAAACAGGA
rnacentral:rRNA from 1 species